AGAUAAGAAGAAGAAGAAGAAGAAGAAGAAGAAGGAAAAGGAUUCCAGCUCCUCCUCAUCUUCAGAUAGUGAUGAUGACAAAAAGAAAAAGAAGAAGAAGAAGAUGAAGAAGAAGAAGAAGAAGAAAAAGAAGGACUCAAGUUCCUC